rnacentral:misc_RNA from 1 species
CCUGUCUGCAGUUGUUUCUGUUUUUCCCGCCUCGGCUCUACGCAAGCUUGCGCACGCAGGGAUACCAUCUUCAGAUAUCCUCUCUGCGUGUGCGGUGGCUUGAGCAAGGAAGUUGGUGCCGUCCUGCACCACCGCCUCCCCUCCUCUAUCGCAAUCGUUAGCACUCACAAACUCGCAGCUCGAGCGAGAAGACUGUAGCAGCGCCGACCGUCUUAGGAAAACCGCCUUUCAGUAAGGAGGGAGAGCGAGAAGUGUGGGCGCGUGUCUGUAUGUGUGCUGCUGCUUUUUAGUUUAGCUUCGCAAUCUUUAUCUGUAGCGAAGGCGUUUUCAGCUCUCGUGCACGUGGAGGUGCUUUUCCUUUUUUAUAUACCCAUGUAGAGAGAGCGUCCCCGCGCAUACCAACGCACACAUUCGCGCCCAUUAGGAGGAACGGAAAGUCUAUGUUUAAGGAAUAUUACGGAGACCUGGACGUUUUUCACUUCCGCAGGAUCUCACGUCGACAGAAUUAGCAUAGCGCCUGCGGUGCUUGCGUCUUUUUUUUUGCUCUUAUCGAGUUGCAGGCAUGACGGCAGCUGGUGAUGCGCACAGUGGCGGCAGCCACGCGCACGAUGACCACCGCGGCCACCAUGGCGUGGCCACAGCCCCUUACGAGAAAAUCAAGGUGCCGUCGAUGGCGUCAGAAGACUAUCUCGAUAACUUGCCGGCUUUUGACACGAAAAAGCCCAUGCCAAAGCCGCGCAGCGCAGUGGAGCGCUUCACGCGCGUGCUGCAGAUGCAAUUCGGCCAGGACCCUGACAUGCCCACCCUCGGCUACAACACUGAGCGCAAGUACCACAGUCUCCUCGACUACCUGGCUAGUCCCAUAACUCCGCUGCGUCCGCGUACGUACGUGGACUCUCACACGCGUCCAAAUCCAUGCCCGGAGGAGUACUGGUGGGCGUCGUGGCGGUGGCCUCGCACAAAGUACGUCAACGCCAAGGUGCCGCCGCCGGUGGAUGGUAAGUACACCGACUACUACCACUACUUAGCGUUCAAGAACUGGCUAGAGCGGGAGCGCGAUGUUUACGUGGCACAUGCCAACUUGGUGCACGAGAUGACGUCGCGCUGCCUCGUCAAGGAGGGGCAGUACAACGCCGCCAAGAACUGCCGCCACCUGUACCACAAGGGGUUCGCCAUGUCGCGUAUGGAGGAGCUCAAUCAGGCGAUGCUGUAUAUGGCCAUGACAGGUAACGCCGCGAUCCGUGAGACGCCGUACCCGGAGAACUUUGUAGAAGAGAAGCGCAAGAUCUACGACGACUGGCUGUACCGCACUCGCAUGCGCAAGCCUGGUGAUGCGGCGUAGUGGGCAACCUCCCCUACCUCUCACACACACCCGAUAUGCGCUGCUUAACUAUGCUCAUCUCUGCUAGAUAGAAACUGCACGCGCGCCGCAGUUCACCGUUCCACCAGACAGGUUGGCGUGCUCUUACUUGCGAGCGAAAGGAAAAAAGGAGCCAAUGUGGCGACACUGUUUCACUGACGCGGACCAUUAAGGAAGUCGAGCGCAGCUAGCUGUACCUCCUUCCUCUGUGCCUGCGUGAAGAGUUUACCCGCCUUUGGGUCGCCCUUCUUUUGCCUUGCUCAUGCUUGCGUGUGUCUGUGUGUGCGCAGAUUAUGUGAGUGUCUGCUUCAUCCGUGCACAAGCACAAACUCCCCUCCCCUCUCCGCUCACGCACGCACGCAAAGCAUGCGGCUAUGCUUUCUCUCUAGCCAAACGACGCAUCAUAGCCUAAACGAACG